rnacentral:lncRNA from 1 species
AUUGAUUGAGGAGUGAGAGAGGGAGAGGGAGAGGGAGGUGUGUUUUGAUAUCUGACAAAAGAUAUGGUUAGACAAGAUUCUUUGGGUGUGGAAAAUAACAUAGAUGGUCUCAUUUGUCUGUCAGGGGGAAUAUCAAUAUCAAUAUGAAUAUGAAUAUGGCGUGAAGUGUCUUAUUGGCCCUAGGGAGGAAGCUAUAUGAGGAAUUUCUGACAACCAAAUUAGAGCCCACAAAAAACCAUGACGACCAUCAAAGGUGACUGUUCAACAGAAUUUUAUGUUACCAAUGCUACCUAUCUAUCAUGUAUCAUCUACGACUUCAUCCUUCUUCGAUUCUUAAAUUUUUAUUUCGCCACCCUUUAUUGGACAGGAUUAACUCAAUUCCUAGGACUACUUUCUUUAUUCUUAUCAUAAUAAUUAACUUCAUCGUCACCAUUAGCUUCAUCAAUUCCCAUGCGAUUAUACACCUA